GGAGAGUUGGCAGAGUGGUAAUGCACCGGACUCGAAAUCCGGCGAGCCGGCUUAUACCGGUGCACGGGUUCAAAUCCCGUACUCUCCU
rnacentral:tRNA from 1 species